AGGAAACACGUGACCGGUCGCCAGCUUAGCGGAGCGGCUGCUCCCUGCAGUAUCUGAAAUCCCAGCCUGCAGCACCGCCGCACUGAGAUGGCUGCCGCAGUGACAACCCUGGAAGGGAAGAGACUUUUAAGUGACCUGGUCAGAGGGCUAGGUCACAGGAAGAGACAUGUUGCUGCAGAAGUGGAGCAGCCACUAGUGGGAGACCUGCAGUGGAGAGAGAGCUGCUAUUUCAUGCCUGGACAAAAGGAA